rnacentral:rRNA from 1 species
GAUGAACGCUGGCGGCGUGCCUAAUACAUGCAAGUCGAGCGAACAGACGAGGAGCUUGCUCCUCUGACGUUAGCGGCGGACGGGUGAGUAACACGUGGAUAACCUACCUAUAAGACUGGGAUAACUUCGGGAAACCGGAGCUAAUACCGGAUAAUAUAUUGAACCGCAUGGUUCAAUAGUGAAAGACGGUUUUGCUGUCACUUAUAGAUGGAUCCGCGCCGCAUUAGCUAGUUGGUAAGGUAACGGCUUACAAAGGCAACGAUGCGUAGCCGACCUGAGAGGGGGAUCGGCCACACUGUAACGGAUACACGGUGCAGACUAAUAAGGGAGGCAGCAGUUGGGAAUCUUCCGCAAUGGGCGAAAGCCUGACGGAGCACAGCCGGGUGAGUGAUGAAGGUCUUCGGAUCGUAAAACUCUGUUAUUAGGGAAGAACAAAAGUGGAAGUAACGAUGCACGUCGGGAGGGUACCUAAUCAGAAAGCCACGGCUAACUACGUG